GACGAACACUGGCGGCGUGCUUAACACAUGCAAGUCGAACGGUGAAGCGCCUUCCUUUUUGGUGGGUGUGGAUGAGUGGCGAACGGGUGAGUAACACGUGAGUAACCUGCCCCCUUCUUCUGGAUAACCGCAUGAAAGUGUGGCUAAUACGGGAUAUUCUGGGUCUGUCGCAUGAUGGGUCUGGGAAAGAUAUUGUUUCGGUGGGGGAUGGGCUCGCGGCCUAUCAGCUUGUUGGUGGGGUGAUGGCCUACCAAGGCGGUGACGGGUAGCCGGCCUGAGAGGGUGGACGGUCACACUGGGACUGAGACACGGCCCAGACUCCUACGGGAGGCAGCAGUGGGGAAUAUUGCACAAUGGGCGCAAGCCUGAUGCAGCGACGCCGCGUGAGGGAUGGAGGCCUUCGGGUUGUGAACCUCUUUCGCCAGUGAAGCAGGCCUGCCUCGUUUGUGGGUGGGUUGACGGUAGCUGGAGAAGAAGCGCCGGCUAACUACGUG
rnacentral:rRNA from 1 species